ACACACACACACACACACACACACACACACACACACACACACACACACACACCAUUGUGUGUGAAACACACAAUUUUCACAGGGCUUUCAUACUAGAGGCCAUACCUAGUAAUACACACAUCUCAAAUACACUGCUUGGCCAGUAUUAGUGACUCACACACAGGUUCCCCUAAGCAACACACACACACAUCCAGGUGCACGCACACACAUUUCUGAGGGAAACCACAUGCUUACUUGAGAUAAAUUGUCUCAAAGUUGAAAAUGAACAAUGACGCAGGUACAUAGAGGAAGGGACAGGUACAUAGAGGAAGGGACAGAUACAUAGAGGACGGGACAGGUACAUAGAGGAAGGGACAGGUACAUAGAGGAAGGGGCAGAUACAUAGAGGAAGGGACAGGUACAUAGAGGAAGGGACAGGUACAUAGAGGAAGGGACAGGUACAUAGAGGAAGGGACAGGUACAUAGAGGAAGGGACAGGUACAUAGAGGAAGGGACAG
ensembl:lncRNA